rnacentral:tRNA from 1 species
UAGCUUAGUUGGUAGUGCAUCUGCCUCGUAAGCGCUAGGCCGCGGGUUCGAUUCCCGC